rnacentral:lncRNA from 1 species
CAGGUAGUGACACUCAGGUCCGGCCUGCACGACGCCUAUACACUGUGAGCCUGCCCCCCGAGGGCUGGGCCCCCCCUCCAGAGCCCCCCAGCUUCUCCAGCCCAGAGGGCUCCUCCAGCAGUGAGGACACAGCAGAUCAGGAUCUUUGUGAGCAACCAAAGAGAAGAAGAAUUAGAAAGCAUAAAUCAAAGAAGAAACUUAAAAAUCCCAAUAUUCAUGUCGAACAAGCAGAAUUAGAGAAGCAGCAGAGUCUUUUACAAGAAAAAUUGCAGCCACGGCACACAGAUGGCCCCAUGAUAAGCAAAAAUAAAAAAAGGAAACUGAAAAAGAAACAGCAGAUUAAAAGGAAGAAAGCAGCUGGCUUACUAACAGGAGCCUCUGGCGUCAACUUCAUGUACCAGCCUGAGGAGAACAGCAGCGGGCAGGACGACAUGAGAGGAAGCGGUGGGGAGGACGCCCCAGACACAGAGGAGGACGGAGCCCUGGGCGCAGAGGAGGACAGAGCCCUGGGCACAGAGGAGGACAGAGCCCCAGAUGCAGAGGAGGAGGAAAGGGCCGCCCUCGAAGCCACAGAUGCAGAGAAGGAAAGGGGCGCAGAGAAGGAAGGGGUUACAGACGCCGGGGAGGAAGACAUUAAAAAUACCAAUGAAAAGGCAAAUAGCAUCCUAAACUUUCUGAAGUCAACACAAGAAAUUUAUUUUUUUGAUGGUAUGUUUUUUCCUGUUGUUCCUUUGAAUAGUGGCAUCCACUUAUUUGGGGGAAAUAAGCAAAUGUAAAAAAUAUUAUUUAGAUGUUUAAAAUCCAAAACAUAUUAAAAUAUUCAGUAUUCAGAAUAAGUUGUUAGUUUUGAGGCCAAAAUCUGCAUAUUUAAAUUCACCUCAGUGAAGAUCUGGGCUGGCCCUCUGCCCCAGGCUCACCUAGAAAGACUGCCAGCCGGCCCUUUGGAGCUGUGGGGGCACUCUAGAUUGGUCUCAUCAUUCUCUUUUCUCUACAGUGUGAUUUCAGAAUAUCUUGGUAUUCUCAGAUAUGCGUCUAAAGAAAAGAUAAAUCCAGAUUGGGGGUUUUGAUGUACUCUUGUUCCUUUUCAUCAGCCAGCAGAGAAAUGGAAGAAGUCCAGCUCUCUGUCUAGGGCACAUGUUGACUUGCUCCAUGUGUGACUUGCGGUUUCACAGUAAGCGUAUCUGAUCACUAUUUGUACUGAUGUAGGAGAUGAACUUACUCUAGAUUUAUUCUAAUGGGUGGCAAUUUCUUACCUUUGUAUGGAACUUCACGGGCAGCUGCCCUAUGGAUCAGGAAGAAGCAGCAGGUGCUGGCCAGGAGCCAAGGGCAGAGGCUCUGAGAUAAGCCAUCUCCCGUUCUGAUGCAUACCUGCUGGGUUAGUACAUCCAGACUCCAGCACCAACAGAGUGAAGAAAUACUGGCUAUGUGAUAACUUGUGGUGUAAGGAAUGGAUUUAGACAGUGAUGCAAAAAUACCAUGCUUGAUGGAUCCAUUUGAACCAAGAAGAUUAACCCCUUUCUCUUUAGCUUGUUUGUCAGUACUUUGUUUUAAGCUGAAAACAUCCUUGACAAAUAGCCCAAUGCCACUCACAGGUGGCAUGGCUGGUACAUUGAGGGGAAGGACUAGGGGUUCAGAGAGAUCUCCCAACAGAGAUCUCUGUUGGGAGGUGCAGGGCUCGGGGCAAAUGGCCCCCCCUGCCAAGGAGACGAAAAGCCCAUUUGAAGUGUACUUAGAAUCUUGAAAGCUGCUGAGUAAAAGCCUGAGAGGACAAAUCCCAGAGGAGGUGAUGGCCAGGGCGCUGAGCCUGAACCCCACAGCCCUCCUUCCCUCAAGGUGCCUGCCACUCUGGACAAGGGCUUGGGUGAGGCCUGGGGAAGGGGCAGCAGGGUUCACAGCAGCCAGGUGGGCCAGUUCUGUGAGGGGAGAAGCAGAGGUCCUACUAGUGAUAGGCUGGACUUUGUCACGUCUUGAGGGACUGAGCUGACUGGGUUGGACUGACCCAGUACAGCACAUAGGCCGUGCUCAGGUGCAGGUAGGUACCUGCUUGAGUUCAGCGGUCCCUGAGUGGACAAGUCCACUGCCCCUCUGUCUUCCGAGCGUGGCCAAGGGGGGACCUCCCUGGAGUAAGAGUUGCCAGCCAAACCCUGGGAUUCUCCCAGUCCUGCAGGGGAGCAUGCCAGGCACAGCAAGGUCAGGACCAUACCACCAAAACCAAAUGUUGGAAGAAAAUGGAGAAAAACUCAAAAUGGAGAGUUUUCGCCAGAUAAUUUAAAUCUGUUAGGAUAAUAAAAUGGAAAUUCUAGGCCUGAGAAAUAUAAUAAGUGAAAUUAAGAACUCAAAGACGAGUUCAAACAAAGCGUCCUCUGGACAAAGCGUCCUCUGGUGGCCUAGUGGCUAAGGAUGUGGUGUUGUCACUACUGGGAUGCAGGUUAGACUUACAAAUGCCACAGACAUGACCAAAAAAAAAAAAAAAAAAAAAAA